rnacentral:sRNA from 1 species
GCUUCGGUAGGUGAGGUUACCGCAGGGAUUUGGAGAUUUCCUGAGAUUGCUGCCGCGAGAUUGUGGAGACACAACGAGUUGGUUUAGCAGGAUAUGUCGUGAAGGCAUACCCUAAUGCAAUUGAUAUAUGCCCGGCGAUACUAAAGCUUGGACGAUGU